AGCCAUGCAGUGCCACGCUGCCACAUUGUUGACCCUCGCUUUCACCCCACUUCCAGACAUUGACAAGUGAAGCCUUUGGAGCCUCAGUCACUCAUGACUUGCCUCCUUUGUUACCUGCCUGAUCUGCAGUCUCAUGUUGGCCCUGAUUCAUGGUGGUCAGCACGUAAGGUUGUUGUGCCUGGUAGGGGCAGAAAGUUUAGCCACUGAGCAGUACCACAAAAUGGCUGUGACCUUGAACGGACAAAGAACUCAGGAAGUGACAGUUCUGGGUGAUGAUAAGACAGCACAACCUGGUCUUGGACUAAAAAUGCAGUUUUGAUCAAGAAGAAGGAAGACUAAAGUGUGGAUACUUCAGUCCUUCUUAGAAUGGGGAACAAAAUACCCAUGGAAGGAGUUACAGAGACAAAGUUCGGAGCUAAGGCGGAAGGAAGGACAAUCCAGAGACUGCCCCACCUGGGGAUCCAUCCCAUAUACAACCACCAAGCCCAGACACUAUUGCAUAUGCCAGAAAGACUUUGCUGACAGGACCCUGAUAUAGCUCUCUCUUGUGAGGCUAUGCCAGUGCCUGGCAAAUACAGAAGUGGAUGAUCAUAGUCAUCUCUUGGAUGGAACACAGGGCCCCCAACGGAGGAGCUAGAGAAAGUACCCAAGGAGCUGAAGGGUUCUGCAACCCUAUAGGUGGAACAACAAUAUGAACUAACCAGUACACCCAGAGCUUGUGUCUCUAGCUGCACGUGUAGCAGAAGAUGGCCUAGUUGGCCAUCAAUGGGAAGAGAGGUCCCUUGGUCUUCCAAAUUUUAUAUGCCCCAGUACAGGGGAAUGCCAGGGCCAAGAAGUGGAAGUGGGUAGGUAGGGGAGCAGGGUGCGGGGAGGGUAUAGGGGACUUUUGGGAUAGCAUUUGAAAUGUAAAUGAAGAAAAUAACUAAUAAAAAAUUGGAAAAAAUGCAGUUUUGGAGGACCGAAGAGAUGACUCAGUGGUUAAGAGGACUUGCUGCUCUUUCAGAGGUCCUGAGUUCAAUUCCCAACAACCAUAUGGUCGUGCACAAACCAUUUAUACUAGGGUCUGAUGCUCUCUUUUGGCAUGCAGUUAUAUAUGCAGAUAGAGCACACAUAUACAUAAAAUAAAAGUAAAUGAAUGAAUGAAAAAAUUCUGGCAGAAAACAAAUGCAGCUGUCUUGCUUUAGCCUCCCAAUUGCUGGGAUGAUAGCCAUGGACCAUCAUGCCUGGCUAACAUCUAUCUACCUGCCUGUCUAUCUGUUCAUGCAUUUACCCAUUGAUCUGUCUGUCUGUCUGUCUGUCUGUCUGUCUGUCUGUCUGUGUAUCUUGUCUCCUUGGUAUCCCAGGCUGGCCUCAAUCAUGAUCCUUAGCCUCCCAACUGCUGGGACUGCUGAUAUGUACUACCAUGUCUGGCCUAAUUAAAGUUUGAAUAAAAGGAAGUGUUUUGACUAUUA
rnacentral:lncRNA from 1 species